rnacentral:rRNA from 1 species
GACGAACGCUGGCGGCGUGCUUAACACAUGCAAGUCGAACGCUGAAGCCUGGCUUUUGUUGGGUGGAUGAGUGGCGAACGGGUGAGUAACACGUGAGUAACCUGCCCUCUUCUUUGGGAUAACGCCCGGAAACGGGUGCUAAUACUGGAUAUUCACUUGCCUUCGCAUGGGGGUGGGUGGAAAGGGUUUUUUCUGGUGGGGGAUGGGCUCGCGGCCUAUCAGCUUGUUGGUGGGGUGAUGGCUUACCAAGGCUUUGACGGGUAGCCGGCCUGAGAGGGUGACCGGUCACAUUGGGACUGAGAUACGGCCCAGACUCCUACGGGAGGCAGCAGUGGGGAAUAUUGCACAAUGGGCGCAAGCCUGAUGCAGCGACGCCGCGUGAGGGAUGGAGGCCUUCGGGUUGUGAACCUCUUUCGCUCAUGGUCAAGCCGCAACUCAUGGUUGUGGUGAGGGUAGUGGGUAAAGAAGCGCCGGCUAACUACGUGCCAGCAGCCGCGGUAAUACGUAGGGCGCGAGCGUUGUCCGGAAUUAUUGGGCGUAAAGGGCUUGUAGGCGGUUGGUCGCGUCUGCCGUGAAAUCCUCUGGCUUAACUGGGGGCGUGCGGUGGGUACGGGCUGACUUGAGUGCGGUAGGGGAGACUGGAACUCCUGGUGUAGCGGUGGAAUGCGCAGAUAUCAGGAAGAACACCGGUGGCGAAGGCGGGUCUCUGGGCCGUUACUGACGCUGAGGAGCGAAAGCGUGGGGAGCGAACAGG